rnacentral:snRNA from 1 species
AUACUUACCUUGUGCCGGGGCAUCGUUGAUCACCGAGGACGAGCCCCAGGGUGAGGUGCGGGCAUUGCACUGAUCGCGUCGACCCCUGCAACUACCCAGAACUGGGACAGAUGGGGCAUUCAAAUUGCUUAAAUCCGGUUCACCGUAGGAGAGGGUGCCACCGCA